rnacentral:rRNA from 1 species
GGAAUUGCUAGUAAUCACAGGUCAGCAUACUGUGGUGAAUACGUUCCCGGGCCUUGUACACACCGCCCGUCACACCAUGAGAGUUGGGGAUACCCGAAGCCUGUGAGCUAACAUUAUGAGGCAGCAGUCGAAGGUAGAAUCAAUGAUUGGGGUGAAGUCGUAACAAGGUAUC